rnacentral:rRNA from 1 species
GGGUAGGGCUACACACGUCAUGCAAUGGCCGGUACAAAGGGCAGCCAACCCGCGAGGGGAGCCAAUCCCGUAAAGCCGGUCGUAGUCCGGAUCGCAGUCUGCAACUCGACUGCGUGAAGUCGGAAUCGCUAGUAAUCGUGGAUCAGCAUGUCACGGUGAAUACGUUCCCGGGUCUU